AGUCAAUAGAUACCCGGUAGUCCUAGCCGUAAACGAUACUCGCUAGGUGUCGGCCACGGUGCGACCGUUGUCGGUGCCGUAGGGAAAGCCGUGAAGCGAGCCACCUGGGAAGUACGGCCGCAAGGCUGAAACUUAAAGGAAUUGGCGGGGGAGCACCACAACGGGUGGAGCUUGCGGUUUAAUUGGAUUCAACGCCGGAAAUCUUACCGGGACCGACAGCAACAUGAAGGCCAGGCUGAAGACUUUGCCGGAUUAGCUGAGAGGUGGUGCAUGGCCGUCGUCAGUUCGUACUGUGAAAGCAUCCUGUUAAGUCAGGCAACGAGCGAGACCCACGCCCACAGUUGCCAGCGUACUCUCCGGAGUGACGGGUACACUGUGGGGACCGCCGCUGCUAAAGCGGAGGAAGGAAUGGGCAACGGUAGGUCAGUAUGCCCCGAAUAUCCCGGGCUACACGCGAGCUACAAUGGUUGGUACAAUGGGUAUCUACCCCGAAAGGGGAUGGAAAUCUCCUAAAGCCAAUCUUAGUUCGGAUUGAGGGCUGCAACUCGCCCUC
rnacentral:rRNA from 1 species